UCUAAUAUUCCACAUGAACAGUCGCUUUACAAAGCCUGACUUAUUUGCCCAGGAGUGGGAGUGAUUGAAAUAGGUUCCUUAAUUCACUUUUAACAUGAAAUUAAAAUAUUUUUGAAAUCGGUCAAAGGAGACCCGAGAAAAAAACCGAUUCAAAUGUUCUCCUCAGAUAGUCACUUAACAAAGUCUUUGGCAUUUGCCCAGUAGUGGGAGUGGUCAAAGUAGGUUCUUUACUUCACUCUUAACAUGAAAUCAAAAUAUUUUUGAAAUCAGUCCUUGGGGUCCGGAGAAAACCCGGUUCUAAUAUUCCACAUGAACAGUCGCUUUACAAAGCCUGACUUAUUUGCCCAGGAGUGGGAGUGAUUGAAGUAGGUUCCUUACUUCACUUUUAACAUGAAAUUAAAAUAUUUUAAAACGGUCAAAGGAGACCCGAGAAAAACCGAUUCAAAUGUUCUCCUCAGAUAGUCACUUAACAAAGUCUUUGGCAUUUGCCCAGUACUGGGAGUGGUCAAAGUAGGUUCUUUACUUCACUCUUAACAUGAAAUCAAAAUAUUUUUGAAAUCAGUCCUUGGGGUCCGGAGAAAACCCGGUUCUAAUAUUCCACAUGAACAGUCGCUUUACAAAGCCUGUCUUAUUUACCCAGUAGUGGGAGUGAUUGAAAUAGGUUCCUUAAUUCACUUUUAACAUGAAAUUAAAAUAUUUUUGAAAUCGGUCAAAGGAGACCCAAGAAAAAAAACCGAUUCAAAUGUUCUCCUCAGAUAGUCACUUAACAAAGUCUCUGGCAUUUGCCCAGUAGUGGGAGUGGUCAAAGUAGGUUCUUUACUUCACUCUUAACAUGAAAUCAAAAUAUUUUUGAAAUCAGUCCUUGGGGUCCGGAGAAAACCCGGUUCUAAUAUUCCACAUGAACAGUCGCUUUACAAAGCCUGACUUAUUUGCCCAGGAGUGGGAGUGAUUGAAGUAGGUUCCUUACUUCACUUUUAACAUGAAAUUAAAAUAUUUUUGAAAUCGGUCAAAGGAGACCCGAGAAAAAAACCGAUUCAAAUGUUCUCCUCAGAUAGUCACUUAACAAAGUCUUUGGCAUUUGCCCAGUAGUGGGAGUGGUCAAAGUAGGUUCUUUACUUCACUCUUAACAUGAAAUCAAAAUAUAUUUGAAAUCAGUCCUUGGGGUCCGGAGAAAACCCAGUUCUAAUAUUCCACAUGAACAGUCGCUUUACAAAGCCUGUCUUAUUUACCCAGUAGUGGGAGUGAUUGAAAUAGGUUCCUUAAUUCACUUUUAACAUGAAAUUAAAAUAUUUUUGAAAUCGGUCAAAGGAGACCCGAGAAAAAAACUGAUUCAAAUGUUCUCCUCAGAUAGUCACUUAACAAAGUCUUUGGCAUUUGCCCAGUACUGGGAGUUGUCAAAGUAGGUUCUUUACUUCACUCUUAACAUGAAAUCAAAAUAUUUUUGAAAUCAGUCCUUGGGGUCCGGAGAAAACCCGGUUCUAAUAUUCCACAUGAA